UACAGAGGUCCCAAGCGUUGUUCGGAUUCACUGGGCGUAAAGGGUGCGUAGGCGGUCGGGUAAGUCUGAUGUGAAAUCUCACAGCUUAACUGUGAAACUGCAUUGGAUACUAUCCGGCUCGAGGAAUGGAGGGGAGACUGGAAUACUUGGUGUAGCAGUGAAAUACGUAGAUAUCAAGUGGAACACCAGUGGCGAAGGCGAGUCCCUGGACAUUUCCUGACGCUGAGGCACGAAAGCCAGGGGAGCAAACGGG
rnacentral:rRNA from 1 species